CAAGCAACUAAAAAUCUUACUGUGUGAUUGAAGAGUGGUCAAAACUAUGGAUUUACUUACUGUAUACGCCUCCUGAAGCAGUAAUAAAACGUGGAAGGUUUGCGGUAUAAAUGUCAAUGAGACAGCUCUCCAUCAAAUACCAAACAACAUGGAAGAUAACAAUUACAUUUAACAGUACGACUUUCAACAACGAGCAAAACCUAUACCACAUAGUCAGGUGUAUUUGUAUUGCUUGACAUAUCUCCCGAAGUAAUAUCAAAAAUACAAUGCGACAUGUUUUGGAAUGUAAGAAGAUAUGAUGUAUGAGACAAUUGGACUGUACCUCAACAACACAGUACACACAAGAAGACAUAUGUAGAGGUUACAAAUGUACUACAUAAUAAAUCAAAUGAU
rnacentral:lncRNA from 1 species